GACGAACAGAUUAUGGAGGUGCCUGAGUGCAAUCAACUUAUAACAGCUGCAAAACCCCUACAGUGGCAACCUCUAGUCGAGGAAUCCUCAAGAAGAGUCAAGGACACUAACAAGCUACCCGUAUAUUAGCAACAACUUAAAAUCAAUGACAUGGUAGCAGGUUCUUUCAAGUCGAAGAAAGUUAGUAGCUCACGUUUGAAUGCAAGAUCAGGCCUAAUCAAGAAAGCAAAACGACUUAACACUCAUGAUCUUCGAACUCAGCUACAAGAAGGACUCGAUGAAUCCAUUUUACAAGAUACUCCCAUCCUUGCGGCAGAUGAUCCUACAUGUUGGGCCUUGGUGGCUGGCCCUAAAAUGCCAUCAAGUGAACAAUGAGGUUAGUAAGUUGGAAUUAUUAGGGUUUGGGCAAUCCCCUGACAGUUCAAGCUUUAGGGUCCUAGUGACCUAGGAAAAGCCUGAUGUUUUGUUUUUGAUGGAGACAAAAAACCAAGAAAGGAAGCUUAUUUACCUUCAAAGGAAACUUAGAUACUCAGAAAGCUUUAUAGAAAAUCCAGUAGGCUUGGCAGGUGGUUUAGCAGUUUUUUGGAAUGACCAGGUGUCCUUGAAGGUGGCCCAACACUCUUCGGCUUUUCUAGACUUUAUAUGCACGGACUUGGAAUUUGGUUUAGCUAUACACCUCGCCUGUUUACAUGCUCCAACAGUUUAUCAUCUCAGACAAAGGUUAUGGGCGGAAGUAAGACAGAUCAAUAUUUGUAAUAACCUACCUUGGCUGUGCGUAGGUGAUUUUAAUGAAAUUUUGUACCCUUGGGAGAAAGUCGGAAAGCGUAUUGCCGAACCUCACCGAAUGUUUUCUUUCUGUGAACUCCUUAUUGAUUGCUCCUUGAUGGAUCUGGGUAGCAAAGGAAGUGCAUUCACAUGGAUUAACAACAGAGAUGGAGAAGACGUUGUGAAAGAAUGUUUGGACAGAAUGCUAUGCACUAAGGAAUGGAGACUAACCUUCCCUCACGCUGAAGUAUUCGCUUUACCAGCUCUUGGAUCAGAUCACAGCCCACUUCUAUUAUAAACUGAAGCAUCUCAAAUUAAAUAUCAAAGAACUUUAUACUUUGAAGCUUACUGGUUACGGGACAAGGAGUGCCGCUCCAUAAUUGCUGCUUCCUAGGCUUCUCACCAGUUUGGAGCAGCGACUUUACCCCAAAAGUUAAGUGUUGUAUCUGCCGCUCUCUCAAAUUGGAGCCGUUCCAAAUACACCAACGCCAGACACCAGAUAGAUUCCCUUCAGUAUCAGCUCCAAAAUCUAACAAAUCAACCUCAUGGUCAUUAUGACAAGGCUAGGAUAACCAACCUGAAAGAGCAAAUCCACAAGUUAUGGCAGCAGGAGGAACAAUUUUAGGCAAUGCGAUCAAGAGUAAAUUGGCUUAAAUGGGGACUAACAAAUCAACCUCAUGGUCAUUAUGACAAGGCUAGGAUAACCAACCUGAAAGAGCAAAUCCACAAGUUAUGGCAGCAGGAGGAACAAUUUUAGGCAAUGCGAUCAAGAGUAAAUUGGCUUAAAUGGGGAGAUAGGAACGUGAAGUUUUUCAUGCCACUACAAUUCAACAAAGACAGCGCAACAGGAUAAGCAUGCUGCAGGAUGAUCAACAUAGAUGGGUACGCGAUCCGAACCACCUCAAGGAGCUGACCUCGCAUUUUUUCAGACAUUUAUACGCUUUUGCAGGGUAUAGAGACUACGGGCCAACCUUUGCCAAACGCAAUCCAGUGGUGACAGUGGAGAUGAAUGAAAAUCUAGUAGCAUAUGUCACUAGAGAGGAAGUUCGAAUUGCAGUAUUUCAGUUAGGAGAAGCUAAAGCCCCAGGGCCUAAUGGUUUAGAUGGCCAAUUCUAUCAAUCCCAUUGGGAUAUAUUACAAGAUGAUAUUAUCAUGGCUGUGCAACAAUUUUUUCAAACCAAGGUGAUGCAACCUGGAUAUAAUCGGACUUAUAUUUCUCUGAUUCCUAAAAUUUCCCACCCAGAAAGGCUUGAUCAAUUCCGACCAAUCAGCCUUUGUAAUUUUAUCUACAAAAUUAUUUCCAAGGUCCUAGAUAAUCGUCUCAAGCCCUGGCUAACAAAGCUGAUAGCGCUAGAACAAAGUGUUUUUGUCAAUGGGAGGUAAAUUCAAGGCAACAUCAUAGUGGUUCAAGAGGUGCUUCACCAAAUCAGGACAAGGAAAAGGAGAAAACAGUUUCAAGCGGUGCUUAAGUUAGUUAUGCAAAAAACUUAUGAUAGGGUGGAAUGGAAUUUUAUUAGAGAUUACCUCCUAAAGCUCGGAUUUCACGCUCGAUGGGUACACUGGGUAUUACAGUGUAUUACAACCGUCUCUUCGAGUGUUAAAUUUAAUGGAGAACUUUUACCCUAUCUUCAUCUGACUAGAGGUCUAAGGCAAGGCGACCCACUAUAUCCGUACCUGUUUAUAUUGAUGGCCAAUGCCUUAUCUAUGCUUAUCAACACUGCAGUGGACAUGGGAAAUUUUAAAGGUAUCAAAUUAAACUGAUGGUAUCCUACCUUAUCUCAUUUAUUUUUCGCAGAUGAUGCCAUUUUCUUCCUAGAAGGGAAACUCCUAGAAUGUCAGAAUUUAGCUAAUGUUCCGAACGAAUAUUGUUUAGCUACAGAACAAGCAGUAAAUCGAAACAAAUCUGGCAUGUUUUUUAGUAAGGAUUGUCCUAUCGGCUUGCAAGAUAAUCUGGCCAGAGAACUCAGAGUCCCAAUGUUAGACAAAAUCGGCAAGUAUCUUGGAAUACCUUCAGACUGGGGAAAAUCUAAAAAGGAGAUGUUUGCGUGGAUCCUGGGUCGAGUACAUUCCAAGCUGGAAGGGUGGAAAGAGAAGCUUUUCAAAAGGGAGUAAGGAAGUUUUGAUAAAAACAGUCGUUCAAGCAAUUUCACAAUACGCAAUGUCUAUUUUUAAAAUCCCUGUGUCAGUUUGCAAAACAAUAGAACAGAAAAUCGCAAGAUUUUAGUGGAAAACAAGCAACAUCAAGUCUGGUAUACACUUGAAGAAUUGGGAUGCUCUUAAAAGUAGAAAAGAUGAUGGUGGAUUGGGUUUUAGUGACCUUAUUGCUUUUAACAAAGCUUUACUAGGUAAGCAAGCAUGGCGACUAUCUUAGCAACCUUCCUCACUUUAUAGCAGAUUAUUAAAAGGAUUGUACUUUCACUCUCAAGAUUUCUGGCAUGCAACCAAAGGAACAAGACCCUCCUGGGGAUGGCAGAGCAUACUGAUGGGCCGGGAAUCUAUAGCAGAAAAUAUGCAAUGGUCUGUGGGUGAUGGGACACAUAUUAAAAUUCGAGAGGAUAGAUGGCUGGCCAAGGGUGUUAUCGGUAGACCUGCACCUAGAGGAGAACCUGAAAAAGUAGCAGAUUUUCUAAUUCCAGACAACAAUGCUUGGAAUACUACCCUCCUAUGGCAGAGCUUCGAUAUUCAAACAGUGGAAGAGAUCAUAUCUAUCCCAAUUCGACCACAAUACACUGAGGAUAGGCUCAUUUGGAGAGGAAAGCAGAAUGGUACAUUUACUGUAAAAAGCUACUACAACAACAUAAGAACACAACAAAUCAGGAACAGUCAUAAUCACACAUCUUCCUCCUUUCAGGUGCCUCGCAAACUAUGGAAUGCUAUCUGGAAAAUGAAUUCUACGCCUAAACUUCGAUCUUUCCUUUGGUCAGUUUGCAACAACGCUUUGGCAACUAGAGAAAAUCUAUACUAUCGACACAUAUUAUCAGAUCCAGUUUGCUGUAUGUGCAAUGAUCAAAUCCCAAAAACACCAGAACAUCUUUUCUUAUUAUGCCCAUGGACUAAAAAUGUCUGGUUCAACCCAGCAAUCAACAUCAAGCAACAUUUCCGUGGAGUUCAUCGGAUAGAAUCAUGGUUGGUCGACUUAAUUGAAAACAGAGACGGCUUACUAGAUUUGGUGACAACUGCAUCCAUCCUUUGGCAAAUCUGGAAAGCCCACAAAAACUUCAUCUUUCGUCAACAGCAGCCAAACCUGAACAGGUCGUGCAGACAGCUUUAGCAAACGCCAAGUCCAGUAGAUGCUAUUAUGGGGUGAAACCGAGACGAAGCUUGCAACGGGCAGAAACAGAUCAACGAUGGCGUCCACCGAAUCAAGGAGUGAUCAAAAUCAAUAUAGAUGCAGCUUACCAGUACGAUUGUAGCGAAGCUUUGGUGGCUUGCGUGUGUCGAGAUUUCUCUGGCAUUGUGAUCGAUGGUUUUGCACGAUCCGCCACUGCCUCUUCGGCCCUGCAAGCAGAGGCGAUGGCUCGUAAUCUAACGCUUCAAUUCUUGCUGCAGAAAGGAAAGGGCGUAGAUCAAAUGAUUAUGGAAUCCGAUUGCUUACCUCUUGUGGAUGCCAUUCGAAACCCUAAUCUGGUGCCUUGGGAGAUAAGGUCCUUACUCGAAGAAACCACGGCGCUUCUCUGUCGGUGCCCUAAUCUACAGAUCAUCCAUUGCAAAAGGGAAGUGAAUCUAGUUGCGGAUUACCCCCUUCUAACUGGGUUUAUACCCUCCUCC
rnacentral:lncRNA from 1 species